AUUCAGUCCUCUCUGAUUCACAUAAGUCAGUGAGUUCAGCGAGUCACGGUUUGGGCUUGGAGAUUUCCAGCAUUUCAGUGUGUGCACGUUUGGGUUGGGUUCAGACUGAGAUUCUUCUGUAUAUACUAAUGCACAGUAUAUCCAUCCAUCCAUUUUCUGUACCGCUUAUCCAGGCUCACAGGGAACCUGGAGCCUAUCCCAGGAGGAAUGGGGCACAAGGCAGGGGACAUCCUGGAUGGGGUGCAAGUCCAUUGCAGGGCGCAAUCACACCUACAUUCACAAAUUACGGACACUUUUGGAUAUGCCAAUCAGCCUACAAUGCAUGUCUUCGGACUGGCGGAGGAAACCGGAGUAUCUGGAGGUAACCCCGAAGCACGGGGAGAACAUACAAUCUCCGGUGCGAGGCGAACGUUCUAACCACUAAGCCACCGUGCCCCCCAAUAUACACAGAUUUUUUCCAGCAUUAUUUUGCUGACAGGAUUAGCCUAUAUUUCCCCAUUGCAGCCGUGACCCUAUGUUGCCCUCCAGAAAAUAUUAAUGAACAUUGCUAACACUGCAUACGUCUACUUUGAUGUCAGAGGCACGUAAAAUCUUGGAACUCGACCAGCGCGAGCUCAGUCUUUCUGGCUCAAACUGAAUCUCGGCAGAUUUUGACGUCAGAAUAACCAGAACGAGUCGGAUUCUGCGCCUAGAUCCCCACGUGCUCGCAUUCCUGCUUCUUGUCCCUCCCCCGCUUCCUGUGCCGCUAAGCUCUCCGCGUGCCUCACCAGUGGGGAAUGUUCAGGAGCUCGAACUGCCACACUUCAAAUCACCAGCUGUCAGUCAGACCUAAAUGGAAUAUUAAACAUAUGGAACAUAAUUGCACAACAAGAAAAUACUGACAUCCUACCUUGUUUUGGACUUGUUUUUAGUCUGGAAUAGCCUGCUAGGCUACAGUGGCACAGGAAACGUCUAAACCUUCCACUGACAAACUUCAAUAAUCACGUCAGCCAAAAAUAAAUAUUUUGGAUACAUUUCUGACAAGAUAAUCACAUAAACUAAGCAGAUUCCUUUUUUAUUGUUUUGUUUUUUUUGUUCACUUGCAUCCAUCAUCCACCAAAAGAGAUUUCUUGCCUCACAAGUCAAAACCUGGACUUAUUUAAUGUUAAAAAGGAAACUAUGUACUGACUACGUGUGGAAAGAAAGAAAGACCAGUUAUUCUUCCACCUGACAAAACACACACUGCCUGUACUGUGCACCAGUCUGAGCUGUAUUUCACCUCCAGGACGUGUCUGACACCUGAGUUCCACUAAUGACGCACAGGGUCAAAGCUGAUAGUGUGUCCAGACACAGUGCACACACAUGUUCCGGUCCUUUCUGAAAUGGAAAUUAUGCAUUGAGCUUUGUGUCUGUAUGUGUGGGGUAUGCAAAGAUGUUCCCAAUGUGAUUCCUUCCAAUGGAUUUGAACAAUUUUCUGACUCAGAGUAAAACAUUUGCCCAUGUGACAAACUGUAAUUGACACUUUAUGGAGUUGUGUAACUUGAUAUAAAAACUAUGCAAAUACAAGGAGCAAGAAGAAUAUCUACCACAUCUGGUCCUACAAAAAGCGAUGACUGGUCCAGACAUACUUUCUUCUCUCUCGUAAACACACUCUUGGAAAUAAAGAGUUCCAUCUGGCACCUUUGAGAAAUUGUUCCAAAAAGAGCGCCUGUAGAAAGCUGAAAUGAUUAACCAUUCAAAAACCCUUAGACACACUCAUUCUAUAUAUUUUUUUUCACACACAUUUUAGAAUAAUAAUAAAGCCAUCAAAACUCUGGAGUAACACAAAUGGAAC
ensembl:lncRNA